rnacentral:rRNA from 1 species
GAUCAUGGCUCAGAUUGAACGCUGGCGGCAGGCCUAACACAUGCAAGUCGAACGGUAACAGGAAACAGCUUGCUGUUUCGCUGACGAGUGGCGGACGGGUGAGUAAUGUCUGGGAAACUGCCUGAUGGAGGGGGAUAACUACUGGAAACGGUAGCUAAUACCGCAUAAUGUCGCAAUACCAAAGAGGGGGACCUUCGGGCCGUCUUGCCAUCGGAUGUGUCCAGAUGGGAUUAGCUAG